rnacentral:rRNA from 1 species
UACGUAGGGUGCGAGCGUUGUCCGGAAUUACUGGGCGUAAAGGGCGCGUAGGCGGCCACGCACGUCCGUUGUGAAAUCGCCCGGCUCAACUGGGCGGGGUCAGCGGAUACGGUGUGGCUCGAGCAAGCUAGGGGGCAAUGGAAUUCCCGGUGUAGUGGUGGAAUGCGUAGAUAUCGGGAGGAACACCAGUGGCGAAGGCGGUUGCCUGGAGCUUUGCUGACGCUGAGGCGCGAAAGCGUGGGGAGCGAUCCGG